rnacentral:misc_RNA from 1 species
AAAAUAACUUUUUAGUUGACACUUUUCACUAUUUUUUUUUCUUUUUAAAUGCUAAUUACUAUUCAAAAUAAUUAAAUGAAAGAAAUUAUUAGCUUAAUGUUGCUUACUGAUAAAGAGUUUCAUUGUUACUUGAACUAAUUGCUGAAUCUGGAGGAGGAUUUAAUAUCUGUUGUGUUAAAUUUGCUACCUACUAAGUUGUUUGUGAUAUGGAGGAGGCGGAGACGACACCAGAGCUAGAAAAAGAUAGAAAGGAAUGUAAGAAGAGGCAGCGUGGGGUCUCUUUCCAAGAGGUGAAUGUGCAACCACCUGCAUGCUAGCACCUUCCAGGUCCCAUACACAAAUAGUAACUAAUUAGCCAGUAACUAGGGACAUAUGGAUGUAAAGAAUGCUGCAAAUAUCCCACCUGCUGGCAAAGAUUUAACAGAGGUCUUUCAGGACUGAUGGUCAUAAGGAGGAACCCCAGAACAGCUGAUUGGGGUUCCUUUAGAGCAGCUCUGGAGAGGAAGAUUGGGAGCUUCUCUGAGGAUAUUCUAAACAGAAAGUGUGGCGCAAAUGUUGUGCUUGUGGAGCCAGAACACUCUCUCAUCCAGACAGGAGCUAUUUCAGAUUUCCUAGGGGAUCUUGUGUGGUAAGAUAUCAGUUUGUUUAUACUCGUUUGCAAUGUAAUUGUGUUUUUAAGUUUAAAAGAAGGUUAGCCUUAAUCUUGUAUCAGUUUUUAAUUAA